rnacentral:sRNA from 1 species
UUAAUAAAAAGUAAGAAAAAACAAACAAAAUCCCACACACCAACUAAAAAUGCAUAUGAAAAAAAGUUGUGAGUACCAAAACCUAAAAUAAAUAAAUUUGUGAGUGAGUGCAUUUGUGAUGCAAAAGAAGAAAUUGAGAAGAAAAAAAUUUGUUUAAUUGAAGCAAACAUUUGAAGCAUAUAAAUAAUGUUCAAAUGAGAAUCAUAACUAAUAAAGAAAAUAAUUAGUGCAGGUGAUUUUUAUUUUGUUCGAAAAGAAAAAUUCAAAAAAAAAAAAAAACGAAAUACCGAGUGAAAUAUCGUGUCCUUUUAGAAACGACUUUUUCUACCACUCCACUGCGAACAGGAAGGAAAAAACAGCGGAUGCAGCCGGCUGAGAUUAGGCUAAACGAGUAUGAUUGAACGAGCUGAAUUAGCUAAAGUGUGUGCAUAAAAAUAAACUCCUAAAUCCUAUAAUAAGUGUAAAAUAAUAAGUUAAUCAGCAAAACCACCAAAAAA